rnacentral:rRNA from 1 species
UACGACGGGGGCUAGCGUUGUUCGGAUUUACUGGGCGUAAAGCGCGUGUAGGCGGGUCGUUAAGUUGGGGGUGAAAUCCCGAGGCUCAACCUCGGAACUGCCUUCAAAACUGGCGACCUGGAGCAAGAUAGAGGCAAGUGGAAUUGCGAGUGUAGAGGUGAAAUUCGUAGAUAUUCGCAGGAACACCAGUGGCGAAGGCGACUUGCUGGAUCUUUGCUGACGCUGAGACGCGAAAGCGUGGGGAGCAAACAGG